rnacentral:tRNA from 1 species
GAUGCCGCGCCGGAAGAACGGAUAACUUUGAUGACGUUAAAUAUGUGGUAACACCUCCGGCAUCU